rnacentral:rRNA from 1 species
GAUCAUGGCUCAGGAUAAACGCUGGCGGCGCACAUAAGACAUGCAAGUCGAACGGACUUAACCAUUAGUUUACUAUUGGAGCGGUUAGUGGCGGACUGGUGAGUAACACGUAAGCAACCUGCCUACCAGAGGGGAACAACAGUUAGAAAUGACUGCUAAUACCACAUAUGCCUAAGUACCACAUGGUACAAUAGGGAAAGGGGUAAUCCGCUGAUAGAUGGGCUUGCGUCUGAUUAGAUAG